rnacentral:rRNA from 1 species
ACCUUUAAUCGAUGUAUUGACGGUUACACACCCCAUAACUCCUUCCCAUUGACGGUCAUCCUCUGACAAUCCUAGAGAUAGGACGUCCCCUUCGGGGGCAGAGUGACAGGUGGUGCAUGGUUGUCGUCAGCUCGUGUCGUGAGAUGUUGGGUUAAGUCCCGCAACGAGCGCAACCCUUGAUCUUAGUUGCCAGCAUUCAGUUGGGCACUCUAAGGUGACUGCCGGUGACAAACCGGAGGAAGGUGGGGAUGACGUCAAAUCAUCAUGCCCCUUAUGACCUGGGCUACACACGUGCUACAAUGGACAGAACAAAGGGCAGCGAAACCGCGAGGUUAAGCCAAUCCCACAAAUCUGUUCUCAGUUCGGAUCGCAGUCUGCAACUCGACUGCGUGAAGCUGGAAUCGCUAGUAAUCGCGGAUCAGCAUGCCGCGGUGAAUACGUUCCCGGGCCUUGUACACACCGCCCGUAAAACUCAAUGAAUUUGAC